rnacentral:rRNA from 1 species
UACGUAGGGGGCUAGCGUUGUCCGGAAUCAUUGGGCGUAAAGCGCGCGUAGGCGGCCCGGUAAGUCCGUUGUGAAAGUCAAAGGCUCAACCUUUGAAAGCCGAUGGAUACUGCCGGGCUAGAGUCCGGAAGAGGCGAGUGGAAUCCUGGUGUAGCGGUGGAAUGCGCAGAUAUCAGGAGGAACACCGAUAGCGAAGGCAGCUCGCUGGGACGGUAGCUGACGCUGAGGCGCGAAAGCGUGGGGAGCGAACAGG